rnacentral:lncRNA from 1 species
AGAAGGGAGGAUUGAGAGAGAAGGUGCAAUUAGCCACCAAAUUUGGGAUAAUUUGGAAGGAUGGGAAAAUGGAAAUUCGAGGGGAACCGGAUUAUAUUCGUGCCGCUUGCGAGGCUAGCUUGAUCCGGCUGGGUAUCGAGUGUAUUGACCUUUAUUAUGUUCAUCGGAUUGACACCCGCGUCCCUAUUGAAGUCACGGUUUGGCUCUCCAUUUCUCUCUUUAUAUACAACUUUUUCAUAUUUUGUAGGAGUUCAGAUCUUUUAUCUGGUUAUGCCUGUCUCUGUUUCAAGUUAUAAGAUCAUUAUUGAUUUUGAAAGUCAAUUUAAAGCAUUUUUAAACUCAAAACUGGGUUGAUCAAAACUUAUGAAACAAUAAAUCUGAACUACAUGUAGGAUGGCUACAAAUUUCAUAAUUUUAUUAAUUAAAAUUAAAGGAAUUUAUGUUAAUUUUGAGUUUUGAAAUGUGUUAAAUUGACUUUUAAAUGUCAAAAUGAUCUUAUAUUUGGAAUAGAGGUAGUGUUAUAUUAACUUUCUAAAGGGAACAUUGGUUGAGACUAAUUUGAAUUCAUUUUGUAGUUGUUAUUGAAAAUGACUGAACACUAUAUAUAUAUAUUAACUUAUCUGUUGUAAACCAAUGUAAAAAAUCAUUAUGUCAAGGCUAGUACUUUGUACUAUGUCCUUAAGACAAUUAUGCCCUCCGUGCGGUACUUAGAGUUUUCUAACACUUGUCUCUCAGAGACACGUAUACUUUAGCAGCACAACAAAAAAUAUACUUAACGAACCAAAAAAGUGUUCAGAACUCUCUCAAAAUGAACUAUAAACUGCUAAUGAAAUAAAAAAGAAAAAGACUAGAAUGCUUAUGCUUUGCUGAUUUGAAUGAAUGAAAUGGUUGUCCCUUCUUAUCUAUUUAUAAGAGGGUAAGUAACCCAUCAGAAAGGUCACAACCCAUUGGAAAGGCAUGAUUAAGCCAAAAUCGACGUAAUUUUGGCUUUAAACAGAAAAGGAGCAUCCGUUUGAAUCAUAAACUACGUAGUUUUAAGCUUAGCAGAACAAAAACGACGUAGUUUAACGCUUAUCAGAAAAGGGCGCGGGCAAAAACGACGUAGUUUUGGGGCGUCCGUUCAGGCAGAUAGUUUUCCCCCAAACGACGUAGUUUAGACGCGUCCGUUCGGCAGAUACCGCUUUCCAAAACGAUAUAGUAUUGAUAAUAAAUAAUAGUUAUCAAAACGACACAGUUUUGAUAAUAGAACUAAAUUAAAAUAAAUUUUAAAUAAAUUUUGUCAAAAAAAUUAUAUACAAUAACCCAGACCCUCGAGACCCUCGAACCACGAGUCAGGUCGACGACGACGUGGGUUCAAACCAAGCCUUGGCUAUGUUCUCUCCCUUCCACAAAAGUGGGGUGCCCCUUGGGACCCAAAACCCAAUAGCAAUUUCCUUGUAUAUAUACAUAUUAAACGUUUAGUUCUUAACCAAUGUGGGACUUGGCUUCUCACAUGUAUUUAUUAUCAUUUAUCAUUUCCAAGGGUUAUCUUUGGGAGUCAAUAUCUCAUUCAUUACUUGAUGGAUUUGAGCUUCUAAAUACUUAAUUUAAUCUACUUAUGGAGUAGAAGAUAUUGAUAUGUGGAUUCACUUUAAAUAAAUAAUUAAACCCACUUUAAUUUUGGCUCAAAUUCUAAUAGUAGUGUCUAUAAAUUAUAAGUGAUAACCAGGUGAAUAUUUAUAAUUAAAAAUUUUAAAUGAAGAGUUAAAAAAAGAACUUCUUUGUAAUGGUAUAAGAGAAAAUUUUAUAAUUAUUGAAUGACAACUAAUAAUAAAUUAAACUAAAUUUAUUAAUAAUUUAUUCAAAAAAUAAGAACAUGAUGGAAUGUAUAAGCAAUAUUUUAGUAGUUUACCAGUUAAUCGAGGCUAGUUUUAAUAAAUUGGGCUCAAGCCCUCAACAUAAAAUUCCAGUGCAGAAAUCUAAAAUGACAUGAAGUACUGAAACUUGGUUGCCUAUUUUCUGUUAACUGACUGCCUAAUUACCAUAUAUUGGAUACUUAUUUUUAUAGGAAAAUGGAGACAAUCACAGCUGUCUCCAACUACUGUUGGCAGGAAAGGGAGGGGAGGGAGGUAGAACUUGAUUUUUGUUAAAAAAUAAACUUGAACUACAAUGUACUGGUAUUAUUUAAUAAUAUUAAUAAACUUCAAUUGAUCACAAUACAUUCUACCACAUUUCAAACUUAUUGUAAUUCUCUUUAUGACCAACCUUACAGGCUAGGUUCUACCCAGUUGAGUACAGGAAGUCGCUAUUUUAUUUAGGAGAAAGAGAUGUGAUUUAAUGUAUCUGAGGAAAUUCUAAGUUUUCCUAGAUAUAUUUGUGCAGUUGAAUUUUUAGACGGAGAAAGUAGGAACUUUAGGAAUAUAGAAAACUAAAAGUGAAAAAUGGGGAAAUGAUAGAAAGUGAAAGUAGAUUGCGAGUGAAAAACGAGCAGGGACUAUGAGUAGAGUAGCAGAGUCUAAAACAUCUUUGAAAGAAAAUACGGGAUAAUAGAGAAACAAAGAUCGGAUAGACAGGGAAACAAAAUUUGCUACAGAGUUAAACACUAUCUACCUCCUCCAAUUGUAAAUUAUGGGGUUCUGACUAUCACUCAAUGGGAGUUGUAUACCUAUUUGAAUGGUAUUGUGUUUGCACCACUGUAUUGUAAUACCUAUUUUAAGCUUUCCUAAUACUGUUUAUGAUAAACUUUUGCUAGAUGGGAGAACUCAAGAAACUGGUUGAAGAGGGUAAAAUAAAAUAUAUAGGAUUGUCGGAGGCUUCUGCUUCAACAAUUAGAAGGGCUCAUGCCAUUCAUCCGGUAACUGCUGUACAGAUGGAGUGGUCAUUGUGGUCAAGAGAUUUGGAGGAAGAUAUUGUUCCUACUUGCAGGUGCAUAAACGUUUUCAUGUUUUACAAAUAUUUUUGAGAGUAACAAAUGGAUCGAAUGUUUGCUUCUAAUGUUUGUGUUAUUCACCAGAGAACUUGGUAUUGGGAUUGUCCCAUACAGUCCUAUUGGAAGAGGAUUCUUGGCAGCAGGUCCCAAGUUAAUUGAGAACCUGCCCGAGGGUGACUUUCGAAAGGUUUGGGCACAAAACCUGUAUUUUUUUGUUUUGCAGAAUAAGUCCGAUAGUAUUAGUCUUUAUAAUAUAUUCCUUAUCUGAAUAAUUGUCUUUAAAUACUCUCUGUCCCAUAGUAGAACUCUGUGCAGCUUUUCUCCCUCCUCCAUUGUAUGAGCUUAUGAGCGCAUUACUGACCAGAUUAAUCAUUUUCUUCAUAUAUAAUCCCUCCGUUGCAAUAUAUUUGAGCAAUAUUGACUUUUUAAAGUUAAUUCGACACAUUUUCAAAUUCAAAAGUGAUGUGAUUCUUUUAAAUUUUGUAAUUAGUAGUACUAUUUAGAUAAAUUUACUAUAUUUAUAUUGGUAUUGGCAAUAAUUAAAUAAAUUUGUAUCAAUUUUGAAUCUAAAAAUGUCUCAAAUUGACUUCAAAUAGUUAAAAUUACUCUUAUAUUUUGAAAGGGAGGGAGUAUAUUAGACUACUAGUGACUUAAUGUAAUCAGUAUGUAUACCAAGCUUCCUUUCAUUAUAUGUGUUUGACCCUAUCUGACGCAAACACUGCAUUUUCCACUACCAUCUUGGUGAUAUACUACCACACCUUUAACCAUUUGCCCAAGUAUCAAAGAAAACCAGAAUUUAUACCGCUCCCAAAAUCACAACUCCCUCCGUUACUUAAUAUAGGUCGUUUUAGAGUUGUGCACAAGUAUUAAGGAAAUGAUUGUAUAGCAUUAACUAUAAUAUCAAUUGUCUAUAUUGACUUUGUAUUGAAAGAAAAGAUUGUUAUUUAUUGAACAAAAAAUAGUGAGAUAAUCAAAGUUACAUUUAUUACUUGGCUUAAUAUUGGAAACUAAGCAAUUAAUGUUUACUUGAAAUUCUCAAACGACUUAUAUUAAGGAACAAAAAUAUUUCUCUAAAACGACUUGUAUUAAGUAACGGAGGGAGUACUAUUUUGUAGUCUACCUAUAGGACCUUUCUGGUGCUUAAAAAUUAUCCAAUUUGUUCAAAGACCUGCUUGAUGCACUCACACAUAGGUCUAUAAUUUUCCAAAGAGGAAGGACUCUUAUCCCGGGAGAUUCCAAAAAAUAAAACCUCGGAAUAGUGAUAGAUUGAUAGUAUUAUGCCUUGUAUUUGAAAGGGUUGUGGUUUUGGUGCUGAGAUAUGUGUGUAUGUUGUCUUUCACAGCUUAUGCCAAGGUUCAAGCCUGAGAAUCUUGAGCAUAAUAAGCACGUAUUUGAGCGGGUCAGUGAAAUAGCAGCAAGGAAAGGAUGUACUCCAUCACAGCUAGCAUUGGCUUGGGUCCAUCACCAAGGGAACGAUGUAUGCCCGAUACCUGGUACCACAAAGACGGAGAAUUUUAACCAGAAUAUUGGAGCUUUGUCGCUGAAACUAACACCAGAUGAAAUUGCUGAACUUGAAUCCUUUGCGUCGGCUGAUGCUGUAAAGGGAGACAGACACGCGUUCAUGUCAAGUACCUGGAUAAAUUCGGAAACGCCUCCAUUCUCCUCUUGGAAAGCUGAAUAAGGAUAUCUUUUGAUUAUAAGUACAUCUUUUUCUUUAUAAAUGCGAUGAUUGGAAGUAUUAUUAACUUGCUUUUUGCUAGCUUUUGUAUGUGGAAAAAAUUCAAAUCUUGAAUUAAUGCAUUUUACUACCAAAUUGCAAUAAUACAUAAGAUUAAGUUGAAUUAUAAAGUUGACUUAAUAUAUUAAAAUAUAUCAAUGAUGUGGUAGUAUGUUAAUUAUUGAUGUUAUUUGGAUGGCUGAGAAUUUAAAUUAUCGGAUUAAAAAAAUAUAUCCAAAUUAUUAAAAAUUACAUCAUAAUAUAUUUUUAAUAUUUCAUAUAAUAGAUCACACUUUUAUGUGAAAACAAAUUAUAUAAAAAUAUCAUGAAAAUAAAAUUCUCCUAUUAUAUACUCUUACUAAUCUCUUUUUUAUCACACAUUCUUGUUUAGGAGUUAGCACUUAUUAGAAGUGGUUGAAAAUUUUAUUUCAUGAUCAAUAUAUAUUAACAUCCACACAAAAAGAUCAAUUUUCUGCAUGUGUGUUAGCACUAUUAUUAUUUUUUUGACAUGUUAACCCAUAAUUCUGAAUGAGACAGUACAUAAAUUAUAUUUUCCCAAUUUCCAAUCGUGAAUUAUACUUUUGUCAUUUGCACCAGCCUCCCCUCUACGCCCACCUCAGGCCACCCCUAACGUCACCCCUCACCCACACCCACUCCACUCCACUCUCUCCCACCCCACUCUAACGUCACAGCUUACGAUUAAAAAGAUCGGACGCCUAUAUAUAUAUAUAUAUAUUGCCGCAGAAAUGGAGUACCAUCUACCGUCUACUCACUGCUACCAUCUACCGUCUCUGAGGAGAGGAGAGAGAAAUAGCUAUGGCUUCGACAGCAGUACAAGUGCCGAGAAUCAAACUGGGCUCACAAGGUUUGGAAGUUUCAGCUCAAGGACUAGGCUGCAUGGGCAUGUCUUCCAACUACGGAGCUCUGAAACCCGAAUCCGAUAUGAUCAAGCUCAUCAACCACGCCAUAGACACCGGCGUCACCUUUCUCGACACCUCCGAUGUCUAUGGGCCCCACACCAACGAAAUCCUCAUCGGAAAGGUAUUCGAGCUAAUAAUACUCUGACUACGUACAAUCAGUAAUAGUAGUAGUUCAUUUGUUUGAAUUAUGAAAUUAUGGAAUUGAGGAGAUUAAAUUAUUUGCAGGCGUUUAAGGAGAAUGGGGGAUUGAGAGAGAAGGUGCAAUUAGCCACCAAAUUUGGGUUAACUCGAAUGGAUGGGGAAAUUCGUGGGGAUCCGGAUUAUAUUCGGGCGGCUUGCGAGGGUAGCUUGAAUCGGCUGGGUAUUGAGUGUAUUGACCUUUAUUAUGCUCAUCGGAUUGACAUCCGCGUCCCUAUUGAAGUCACGGUUUGGCUCUCCAUUUCUCUGUCUUUAUGUACAACUUUUUCCUAUUUUGUAGGAGUUCAGAUCUUCUAUCUCGUUAUGCCUAUCUCUCUUUCAAGUCAUA